rnacentral:misc_RNA from 1 species
AGUAAAAUAGUACGUGAAAUUGUUGAAAGGGAAACGAUUGAAGUCAGUCGUACCGACGAGAAAUCAGCUCUUUGAGUGCGAACUUGUGGGCGUGCGUGAGUCUUUAACGGGCCUCGCUGUUUGCAAUUUUGUGCUUUUUGGGUGUACUUUUUCGUAUGGUAGGCCAACGUCAGUUUUGAUCACCGUAAAAUGAUCGGAGGAAUGUAGCUUCGAUCUCGUAUUGAAGUGUUAUAGCCUCUGGUAGAUGCGGUGACCGAAACUGAGGAUUGCAACGAAUACCCUUUUGGGCUAUCCGUCUGGCCUCUGAAAGUUGCUUAGGUGCCGAAAGCGUGCUUACGGCUAUUUAAGUUGACGGUCAACAGGUUAGAACGUGAUUACAUUCGUUAAGGACGUUGGCGUAAUGGCUUUAAA